rnacentral:rRNA from 1 species
UACAGGGGGUGCAAGCGUUACUCGGAAUUACUGGGCGUAAAGAGCGCGUAGGCUGCUUAGUAAGUUUGGUGUGAAAGCCCUGGACUCAAUCCAGGAAGUGCAUUGAAUACUGCUAAGCUAGAGUAUUGGAGAGGUGAGCGGAAUUCCUGGUGUAGAGGUGAAAUUCGUAGAUAUCAGGAGGAACAACAGAGGCGAAGGCGGCUCACUGGACAAUUACUGACGCUGAGGCGCGAAAGUGUGGGGAGCAAACAGG